GAAAGAUCUGAUAGUUCAGGUUGGUGAAUACCUGAGCUGUCUUUCUAUUCCAUCUCAGUGGGCUAGAUACAUUUAUAUCGAAUUUUCAAACUAAGAAUAUUAUUCUUUUUAUAGAAAUUGGAGCAAAUUGGUAAAUAUCGGUAGCAAUCUAGCAUCAUCAUCACAGCCUGAUAUUUAAGUCAUUAUGUAGUGAACAAUCUAAUUUUUCACUGGUCUCAUUCUUGAAGAUGGGCCAUUGCUUUUCAGUUUGAUGAAACAAAUUAUUGCCGUAAUUAUUAGGAUAUGCUUAAUAGAAAUGCCAUAAUUUCUCUGAGCGAG
rnacentral:misc_RNA from 1 species